rnacentral:rRNA from 1 species
UACGCAGGGUGCAAGCGUUACUCGGAAUUACUGGGCGUAAAGCGUGCGUAGGUGGUUUUUUAAGUCCGUUGUGAAAGCCCUGGGCUCAACCUGGGAAUGGCAGUGGAUACUGGAAAGCUAGAGUGCGGUAGAGGGUAGUGGAAUUCCCGGUGUAGCAGUGAAAUGCGUAGAGAUCGGGAGGAACACCAGUGGCGAAGGCGGCUACCUGGACCAGCACUGACACUGAGGCACGAAAGCGUGGGGAGCAAACAGG